CUACGGGGGGCUCCAGUGAGGAAUAUUGCACAGUGGGGGGAACCCUGAUGCAGCAACGCCGCGUGGAGGAUGACGCAUUUCGGUGUGUAAACUCCUUUUAUAUGUCAAGAAAAUGACGGUAGCAUAUGAAUAAGCACCGGCUAACUCCGUGCCAGCAGCCGCGGUAAUACGGAGGGUGCAAGCGUUACUCGGAAUCACUGGGCGUAAAGGACGCGUAGGCGGGCUUGUAAGUCAGGUGUGAAAUCCUACAGCUUAACUGUAGAACUGCACUUGAAACUACGAGCCUAGAGUAUGGGAGGGGGAGAUGGAAUUAGUGGUGUAGGGGUAAAAUCCGUAGAUAUCACUAGGAAUACCUAAAGCGAAGGCGAUCUCCUGGAACAUAACUGACGCUAAGGCGUGAAAGCGUGGGGAGCAAACAGGAUUAGAUACCCUCGUAGUC
rnacentral:rRNA from 1 species